AUGUUUGUCUUCCAGACAAAGCUGCUCUUCUUCUCCAAGCAAGAAUGCUGCAUCUGUGAGCUGCUAAACCAUGAUCUCCCACCUUUUUUUUUAAAGAGACAGGAGGAGCACACAGCAGGGACAUUGAGACCAGUGGCUCUGGAACUUGCUGCACCACAGAGUAGUAGUUUUAGAGCUUCAGACUGGGGCCACAGAGAUGAUAUCUCCAAGCAAGGAGCCAACCUGGCCUCCUUUCUGCUGUCAAUUAUUUACAUUCAGAGAGGAAGAACUGUCCUGGUGUUCUGGGCCAGGUGCUGAGCCAGGUUCGGAUUUCUGGAAGUGAGACCUCUUCCUUAAGUAACUGCAAAAAGGAACACGAACACAAAACGCAGAUCUGAUGUAAAAGAAUAAAGUUAUAAUUCCUUGAAACA
rnacentral:lncRNA from 1 species